AUACGUAGGGUGCAAGCGUUAAUCGGAAUUACUGGGCGUAAAGCGUGCGCAGGCGGUUUUGUAAGACAGUGGUGAAAUCCCCGGGCUCAACCUGGGAACUGCCAUUGUGACUGCAAGGCUGGAGUGCGGCAGAGGGGGAUGGAAUUCCGCGUGUAGCAGUGAAAUGCGUAGAUAUGCGGAGGAACACCGAUGGCGAAGGCAAUCCCCUGGGCCUGCACUGACGCUCAUGCACGAAAGCGUGGGGAGCAAACAGGAUUAGAUACCCUGGUAGUCCACACCCUAAACGAUGUCAACUGGUUGUUGGGGAUUUAUUUUCUCAGUAACGAAGCUAACGCGUGAAGUUGACCGCCUGGGGAGUACGGCCGCAAGGUUAAAACUCAAAGGAAUUGACGGGG
rnacentral:rRNA from 1 species